AUUGAGAAUUAAGAAUUUCGGAUUCUUUUCUGAGGUAAUCUCUCAUUU
rnacentral:tRNA from 1 species